UACGUAGGGGGCAAGCGUUGUCCGGAUUUAUUGGGCGUAAAGAGCGUGUAGGCGGCCAGACAGGUCCGUUGUGAAAACUCGAGGCUCAACCUCGAGACGCCGAUGGAAACCGUCUGGCUAGAGUCCGGAAGAGGAGAGUGGAAUUCCCGGUGUAGCGGUGAAAUGCGCAGAUAUCGGGAAGAACACCCGUGGCGAAGGCGGCUCUCUGGGACGGUACUGGACGCUGAGACGCGAAAGCGUGGGGAGCGAACAGG
rnacentral:rRNA from 1 species